CUGCGGCACUCCCCCUCCCUUUCGCUCACCGCUUAUUGCUUCUCCGCAAGAAAAGUCACCUCCGUUGAGCCAACUGAGCCAGAACCUCCUGCAGCCUCUCAUGCUGAUAAGCCCUAGCUCACUGGCUGCACCCUACACAGAGCAACCCCACCCAAGGCUAUGACAACUCCUGAAGAGGUAAUCACAAACCCUAACACUGCACUGGCUGGCAAUCUUGAACAAAACAGCAAAGCCAGAAGGGACCCUGAUGGUGUUGUGCAUUGGCCGCUCCUUUCACACCAACCCCACCACCAAAUGCACAGACCCCAACACCAAAGGAAACCAGCAGCAACAUAGGCAUGGAAGGCCUGUAUGGUUCAGGUGAGACACCCACACACCCUAACCCUGUCUCUCUUGUGUUCCAGCAGGUCACCAGAGAGGGAAGCUUUGAGUGCAAGCUGGAGGAUAACUGGCUAUAGCACUGCUGGAGGCAGGUCCUCAACCUAAGCGGCCAGCAUCAGACUACUUCAUCUGUGAUGAGCUCUUAUACUACCACACGGAGCAGCAGGGCCAACUCUGUGACCUCCUGGUUGUCCUGCAAACCAAAACACUUCUCCUGAUGCACCAAGCCCAUUCACACUGCAGAUACCUGUGGGGUCACAACGCCCUCGAAAAGCUGCAACAUUGACUCCUAUGGCCUAGCAUGAAAGACCUCCUAAGGCCUAGCGGGCCUUCUGAAAGCAAUGCCCACAGUGCCAAUGAACUACCCCAAAGCAGCCACCUCCUGGGCCCCUCUUUCCACUCCCCAAAAUCUGCAUCCUUUUUCAGAGAAUUGGCAUGGACCUCAUCAGGCUGCCAUUAACUGGUGAUCGUGGAUUACACCACCAGGUACACCGAGGUUGUCCCCCUCUGCAAAGUCACCCCACGAGACAACAACCUCAAGGACUGUUGGACUUGGACUGAGAAGCCUGGGAGGAGCAGCCCUUGCUGCUUCACUCUCUCAUCAAACAUGUGCAAGACAUGCAAGAGCAGAUUAAGUGAGUGGCUCAGAUUGUCCAGGAGCACAGGGAGGCUGCCCAGAGGGAUCACCAGCAGGCAUACAACGUUGUAGCACUCCAUGGUAUAACAACUUUGCCCAGCACUUCACCCUUACCUUGGGAUUUAAUAAAUAAAUAAGUACUAUAAUUUAAUAAAUAGCACUUUUUCAUCCAUCUCUGGAACUGUUGUGAGAUAUUACCAAAUGUUUUGGUACAUCUGCCUUUAUAUGCACAUGAACAUGAAUGAUAUCCCAUUCUUAAUCCGUAGGGUUUAAUAUAGAGUUGGCCCGCCCUUUUCAGCUAUAACAGCUUCAACUCUUCUGGGAAGGCUUUACACAAGGUUCAGGAGUGUGUUUACGGGACUUUUUGACCCUCCCUCUAGAAGCACAUUUGUGAGGUCAGGCACUCAUGUUGGACAAGAAGGCCUGACUCGCAGUCUCUGCUCUAAUUCAUUCCUAAUUCAUUCUGUUGGGUUGAUGUGCAAGCCAGUCAAGUUUCUCCACACCAAACUUGCUCAUCCAUGUCUUUAUGGACCUUGCUUUGUGCACUGGUGCGUAGUCAUGUUGGAACGAGAGGCAAUCCCUUAACUGUUCCCACAAAGCUGGGAGCAUGAAAAUGUCCAAAAUAUCUUGGUAUGAUGAAGCAUUAAGAGUUUCUUUCAAUGGAACUAAGGGGGAGUGAAGGCUGGCCCAUGUGGUACAAAUGCAACAGAUGAGCCACUGUUAGUCAAAUUGCUAAAGAAGAUAAUGCUGGUUCUGAUAGAAAGGUGUCAAAAUAGACAGUGCAUCACAGUAUGUUGCAUAUGGGGCUGCAUAGCCGGAGACCAGUCAGGGUGCCCAUGCUGACCCCUGUGCACCACCAAAAGUACCAACAAUGGGCAUGUGAGAAAUGGACCAUGGAGCAGUGGAAGAAGGUGGCCUGGUCUGAUGAAUCACGUUUUCUUCUACAUCACGUGGAUGGAUGGGUGCAUGUGCAUCGUUUACCAGGAGAACAUAUGGCACCAGAUGGCUGGUGGCACCAUUCCCCGAUGGCUGUGGCCUCUAUCAGCAGGAUAAUGUGCUGUGCCACAAAGCAAAAAUGGUUCAGGAAUGGUUUGAUGAGCACAACAAAGAGUUUGAGGUAUUGACUUGGCCUCCAAAUUUCCCAGAUUUCAAUCUAAUCGAGAAUCUGUGGGAUGCGCUAAACAAAAAAGUCUGAUCCAUGGAGGACCCACCUCGCAACUUACAGGAAUUAAAGGAUCUUCUGCUAACAUCUUGGUGCCAGAUAUCACAGCACACCUUCAGGGAUCUAGUGGAGUGCCUCAACAGGUCAGGGUUGUUUUGGCAGCAAAAGGGGACCAACAAAAUAUUAGGCAGGUGGUCAUAAUGUAAUGGCUGAUCAGUGUAUACAUUACACAGGGGAGACCAUGUUACUAUCAGCAAAAACUGAAACACUGCUCCGCUUCAGCACCACCACCUUGGACAGCAGACGCACUUAGAGCUCCAAGGUGGGGCAAGAUCAGCGUGUGGCGGUCCAAUCCGAGCCACCUCACUCUCUAUUCACCUUCACUGAGAAGAGGAGAGAGCCUAAUAGGGCAUGGCACAGCCAGCGAGCCCCACAUUGCCAGAGUGUGCUUCACUGGAGGAGAAUGCAGGCAUAAGCAGAGUGACAAGGCAGAAUAGCUCUACUGGAUCAGAUGUUGAAGCACCUACAAGAAACCAGCCUCUAGCAGCAGGCAAUUUCCCAAGAGCUCACCCAGAGCCUUUGCCUCACCAUGGAGGAACUAGUGGCUUUGAAGAGGCUCUCUCUGGCUGCUGCCCCUCCAUGACCCCUGCUGCUCUCAAAGUUGACUCAGGACAACAACAUUGAGGCCUGCAUGGCUCAGCAUCUACAAAAUGCAGGGUUGACAAUAAAGGUGAGACACACACCCACUAACUUGGUUUCUACUGUGUUUCACCAGGUUACAAAGGAACCAACAGGAUUUGGGUGGGGGCAGAAAGAGGAUGACAGGCCAAAGCACUGCUGGGACAAGGUGCAGCGAAUAGAAGGAGUCAACGUGGAUGCCGUGCAAAGACUGCCUUCAUAUUCAUUUUGACCUUGAACAUGACAAAAGGGCUCUUCGCCGAUGCCCUGUCAAAAAGACAUGCCCUGUGGAGCCAACAUCAAUCAGCAGCAGAACUUUAGACUCUACACUUCAUAACUAUUUCACUGUUUCACUGCACCAUGUAAAUAAAAACUGUUCACCUGCCUAUUCAUAUGACAAAAUGAGAUUUUCUUUUUUGUUUUGACUGGUCAAAAAUGUUAAGUUUAAUCUAUUUCCACAAUUCAAAUUAUAAAGUUCCAUCAAAAUA